rnacentral:rRNA from 1 species
CCUACGGGUGGCAGCAGUCGAGAAUCAUUCACAAUGGGGGAAACCCUGAUGGUGCGACGCCGCGUGGGGGAAUGAAGGUCUUCGGAUUGUAAACCCCUGUCAUGUGGGAGCAAAUUAAAAAGAUAGUACUACAAGAGGAAGAGACGGCUAACUCUGUGCCAGCAGCCGCGGUAAUACAGAGGUCUCAAGCGUUGUUCGGAAUCACUGGGCGUAAAGCGUGCGUAGGCUGUUUCGUAAGUCGUGUGUGAAAGGCGCGGGCUCAACCCGCGGGCGGCACAUGAUACUGCGAGACUAGAGUAAGAGCGAGGGAGGCGGAAGGGGCGGGGUAGGGGUGAGAUGCGUAG